GUCCACGCCCUAAACGAUGGAUACUAGACGUAAGAGGUAUCGACCCCUCUUGUGUCGCAGCUAACGCACUAAGUAUCCCGCCUGGGGAGUACGGCCGCAAGGUUGAAACUCAAAUGAAUUGACGGGGACCCGCACAAGCGGUGGAGCAUGUGGAUUAAUUCGAUACUAACCGAAGAACCUUACCCAGGUUUGACAUUGAAGGAAAGCCCGAGAGAUUGGGCCCUCCCCACAAGGGGACCUGAAAACAGAUGUUGCAUGGCUGUCGU
rnacentral:rRNA from 1 species